UAACACGGUCACCAGUUAAACCGUAACACCGGGUCACGGAAAAGAACCCAUCACUAUCACAACUGUGGAUCAAGUUAAUGUUGAUAGAUAGAUAAAACAGUGUAAAGUUUUAUAUAAGUGAUUUUUGAGCGUGUUCAUUGGAUCUCCUUAUCGUUAUUUAUUUUUUUAUCUUAGAAACACGAAUGACCAGUAAUAUCUAAAACACCACUGCCAAAGAUGAUCAUCUCUCAAAGCUGAUACAGUUUUUCAGGUCAAAGCGUGAUGAGGACAUUCCAGAUAUGACUUCAGUAUUGAAGAGCCUUGAUAAGGAUACAACAACCAAAGGAUGAGGACAGCAGCAUGGCUGGGCCUGCCGUGGUACAUGCAAGAGACUCCUUCAAAAUUCAUUAAGAGAUGUGCAAGCCCAGUGACUGAAGAGGAUGGGAUCAAGUGUGUGGUGACUGGAAUCCUAGUUGUUGCGGAAAACGUGAUGAAACCUCUCCCAGCCUUCUAUGACGUUGCCCUGGUGAUUGAGAAAGAAGUGGUAAUGUGUCACCUGAGUGAUUAUACCUAAUGCUUUUCUGAACCUGAUGGGCCUGGUGUACGUAUUAAACCUUGACUAUCCAAAGGAAUUAAAAGUCACUUUUGAAGUGAUACAGCACCUGUUCAUUGGAGUCAGAUCAGACUCUAGUACCGCAAGAGUUCACUCUUUGAAAAGCAAGUUGCUGUGAUAAGACAGAAACGAAAUAAAUCUUUUUUUACUUUAUGCUACUGUUUAAUCAUUGUACUGGUUUAAACUUUAAGAACAUUGUUGUUUUAGAUCUCAUUUUUUUUUAAGUCGAACAUUGGAAUUCUUGUUUUUAUUUUUUUAUUUUUUUUAAACUGACUUCUUUUUUGUUACCUUGUAGUGCUUCAUCUUUCAUUGUCAUGUUCCUACAGUUGGGAAUUUACAGUUUUUUAACAGUUUAAUAUGAAGUAUUUUUAACAGCUUAUUGUGAAUUCUUCAUGUACACUUGUGUCUGCUAUGAAAAUAUCUGAUAAUGACAAGGAGAGUUAUUUGUACUAUUUUGGCACUAAGAUGGGUGUGUGAAGUUUGCAUGUUUUUGUGUGAGCUGUGUAUAUGUGAAGUUUUUUCUUUCUUAGUGUUUUUCUAUCUAUGCAAGAAAAUUAUUAUGUUUGUGUUUUUGGAUGCAAUGUGUCUGUUUAAAAAUAAAUGCUGUGAGUUUCAA